UUAUUUUCCCCUAUGUCCUUUAAUCCUCAUUACUUUGCUUAUGGAGAUGGUGAUUAGAUAAUCCCCUUCCAUCUGAGUUUUGUUAUAGUGUAGACUUGUGUGCUGCAGUCUUAUGCCUUUGGAUAUUCCCUAACUUUUGCAUGAACUGCUUUUAAGAGUUUUAAUUCACCGGGAGUUUUACCCUUUUCUUCUUAAGUCGGCCUUUCAGGUUUUAAACUUAUUGGGCUUAACUUUUUUGUUUAUCCCUUAUUUUUUCCUGAGUCGCCCUUGCGGAUUUUUAACUCACUGGGGUGCUCAUUUUGUGCCUUAGUCAACCUUUCAGGUUUUCAACUUAGCGUGCUUUUAUUAUCCAUCUCUUUUUCUUACAUUUAAUACUUUUUGACGACAUCAUAGUUGACGAGAUGUGUCAACUCUUCUCCAUCUAUGUCUGUGAGAACUAAAAUUCAAAGGGCCGAAAAUGAUAAACCCACAACGAUAAGCAUGAAAAACAAAAGGAAAAUGAAGGAUGGAGCCUCGUCGGAUCCUGAAACUCUGACGAGAACUUCGACAAAGCCAACCUCAUGUGAAUGCAAAGAGCUCGUGACUGCCAAGUCCAACCUCAUUUUUCUGUUUUUUUUAUAAUUAUUGUAUGGAAUGUAAUGGCAUGACUAUGCUAGUGUGUAGCUUGUGUGUGUUGAAUGUUCAAAAUAAUGUAAUACAAGCAACUUUUUUUUUAAUUUCAAUCUUUUGUUUUUAUUUUA